rnacentral:lncRNA from 1 species
GGCCUAAUUAAGUCUAUCAUUUCAAAGAAAGAAGACAGAUGAGAAGAUUUCGCGUUUACGGUGAUCACAAGUCCUCUCCAUCCUCUUCAUACAUCAAGGUCAUGUGUUUUUUCCAUAAAGGUUACAUGAUGUGGUUCUAGUACCUGAUUUUCACGGAAAACUCACAUGGACUAACAUGAAAUGCCACCAUUUCGAAUUUGCAGUCCUUGAUUUCUAACAAGAAGUAAGGUGGUGAGCCAUGAAUGUCAUCUUGAUAUUGACUUUCUACACACAAUCAAGCUAUCCAUGUGUAUAUGCCAUUACUAUGGCCCUUUGCCUAAUUUAUAUGUCAGUUUCCAUUUGACAUAAAAGUUGAAACAGUUUAUUCUAUUAAUUUUUACUAUAUUGGCAAGCCAUGUGUGAUGUGCGUGUGUGUAUAUAUAUAUGAGAUAGCCUUUCCAUUUGUGUAUACUAUUCACCUUGCAAUAGAUACCAUUUAGAGAGCAGAUUCAAUAUAUAUAUAUAUAUAGUUGUUCGUCUUUUAUCAUCUUAUAAACCACCUUACACUACCUUCUCUCCACCCACCCCCUUUUUUUAAAAAAAAAAUUCCUAAUCACAGGAAAAAGAAUUAAUGUUAAAUAAAUAUGUCGAGGGAUGUGAGAGAAUAUUCUAGUACUCUUCAUAAUUUUUAAGGUUCAACCAAAGAACUAAUUAAAGUAAAUAAAACACAAGAUUUAUCAAGUUUGGUUUUAUAUAUUAAUUGCACCAAUCACACACACCGAUUACGAAAAGCUUCCAAACAUAUAUAUUAUUAAUGGGGUAGCAACAAAAAUAUAUAUUAAUCAUUAUCAGUCUAGA